CCUACGGGGGGCAGCAGUAGGGAAUCUUUCACAAUGGGCGAAAGCCUGAUGGAGCAACGCCGGGUGCAGGAUGAAGGCCUUCGGGUUGUAAACUGCUUUUAUAAGCGAGAAAUAUGAUGGUAACUUAUGAAUAAGGAUCGGCUAACUACGUGCCAGCAGCCGCGGUCAUACGUAGGAUCCGAGCAUUAUCCGGAGUGACUGGGUGUAAAGAGUUGCGUAGGUGGCAUAAUAAGUAGCUAGUGAAAUCUGGUGGCUCAACCAUUCAGACUAUUAGCUAAACUGUUAAGCUCGAGACCGUUAGGGGUAACUGGAAUUUCUAGUGUAGGAGUGAAAUCCGUAGAUAUUAGAAGGAACACCAAUAGCGUAGGCAGGUUGCUGGGACGGUUCUGACACUAAGGCACGAAAGCGUAGGGAGCAAACGGGAUUAGAUACCCCAGUAGUC
rnacentral:rRNA from 1 species